GAGGGUGUAGCUCUGUGGUAUAGCGCCUGCCUAGCAUGCGUAAGGUCCUGGGUUCAAUCCCCAGCACCUCCA
rnacentral:tRNA from 1 species